UGCGGGCAGAGGAGCGAGGAGAAGAGCUGAGGGAGAGAAACAGAGCGCGGCCGUCAGAGUGGGGCGGCCGCACGGGGCCGGGGGGGACCCCAUGGGGCAGGGACGGGGACAGGGCCCCCCCGCCAGCCCCAGCCCCCCGGGAGCUGCGGGGCCAGGGGCAGCCCAGGAACGUCUGAGGGCUUGGGGCUCCUUGGGGGGGUUGGGGGACGCCCCGGCUCCGUGCGUGGCUCACACGGGGCGGCCUCGGGCACCGGGAGCUGAGCAGGGAGGACGGGGAAUGGGGGCAGGGCCCCCCCCCCCCAGCUCACAGACAGCCCCCACCCCGCGCCCCGCAGGCAGGGCAGAGCCGGGCGGCGCUGGGCGGGCCCGGUGGGACCAGCAGCACCGGUCAGGGGAGCAGAACCAGCCCCGCAGGGGGGGGGGCCCCACCAGGAGGGGGAUGUCGCACUGGGUGGCCCCGCCCGGCUCACACGCCCCCAAAUUCCCCCCCCCCCCCGCACCCUCCCAGGGGUGCCUCUCAGGAAGGAGCCGCGCUGGGGCUGUGCCAACGCUUCCCCAGUUACCCCAGGGCCACUUGGGGGUCCCAAUCCUCACCCCCCCACUGCCCCCUCCCAGAGAAGGCUCCGGGGAGCCCCCUCCGUGCGCGGGGACCCCCCCGUGCCCCCAAAACACGGCCCAGACGCUUCUGCCCCCAGGCAUGGGGCUGGGUGCUCCUGCAGGGAGCAACACGUCGGGGGGGGGGGGCCAUCCAGGCCAACCCCUCCCCCGACCCUACGCCUUUGCGGUCCCCCCCCGGGGGCACCACGCGCGGUCCCCACAAGGCAGCCGGACCCCCGGGGGUCUCCCGGUGACCGCCACCCCCCCGCGGCAGGACAGAGGCCGCUGCCCCUGUCCCAUGUCACUGCAUGGGGUUGGGCCCCCGGUGACGGUGCCACCGGCUGAGCCGUGCUCGCGGCCACCUUCCCCCAGCCUCACCGAGCCCCCGGGGAGCUCGGUGCCCCCCCGUGACCACUGCCACCCCCCAAGCCCGUUCGUGGCGGCAGGAGGCGGUGACGGGGGCUCCCCGCGCGCACCCCCGGGC
rnacentral:lncRNA from 1 species